GACGAACGCUGGCGGCGUGCCUAAUACAUGCAAGUCGAACGAGAGCGACCGGUGCUUGCACUGGUCAAUCUAGUGGCGCACGGGUGAGUAACACGUGGGUAACCUGCCCAUCAGAGGGGGAUAACAUUCGGAAACGGAUGCUAAAACCGCAUAGGUCUUCGAACCGCAUGGUUUGAAGAGGAAAAGAGGCGCAAGCUUCUGCUGAUGGAUGGACCCGCGGUGCAUUAGCUAGUUGGUGAGGUAACGGCUCACCAAGGCCGUGAUGCAUAGCCGACCUGAGAGGGUGAUCGGCCACAUUGGGACUGAGACACGGCCCAAACUCCUACGGGAGGCAGCAGUAGGGAAUCUUCCGCAGUGGACGCAAGUCUGACGGAGCAACGCCGCGUGAGUGAAGAAGGUUUUCGGAUCGUAAAACUCUGUUGUUAGAGAAGAACAAGUGCUAGAGUAACUGUUAGCGCCUUGACGGUAUCUAACCAGAAAGCCACGGCUAACUACGU
rnacentral:rRNA from 1 species